UAGUCUGUACUCCGCAGCUUGCAUCUCUUUCAGAUACCUCAUUUUCUGCAAAUUAAAUAAACAUAGAUUACCAGCACCAAAAGUCCCCCAGAUCUUCACGAAAACACCUAGGACACAAAUAUAAUUAGAAUACCUAAGAUUACCUAAUUAAUUCAAUUAAUGCCAGACCAGUAUUUUUUAAAUCACGCUUGACCGUGGCCAAAUCAUUAAAUUUGAGGAAACAUGCAAAUCAAACAGACUAAUACAGAGAUUAAAGUUGAAGGUUCUCAGCCACAAAGUAAAAGAUUUAUAAUUAAAGCUUCUGCAGAUCAACAAUAACAAAUAACACAUCUUUUAUUUAGCUGUCGCACUCUGCUUAGUUGAUAACAUGACAUUCAUGUCAUGUUAUCAGACAUAGAAGAGACAAAGCAUGUUGACUAACAUGAAAUCGUAUAAAUUUACAAUUGUACCAUCAUAAGGGAAUGAGACCAAAUGUAAAAGAUAUAGGAAAUAAUUGGUGACUUCCCCAACAACCUAUUUUACAUACCAGUGUGUAAUAUUAUGAUCAGGUGAAAGCUUGUAUAUAACUUUUCUUGUAUGGAAACAAUUUGUUCCCCCGUACAUUGGCCCUUGAAUUCCUGCCAGUCCAUGACCUAUAAACUAUACAGUUUAUGCAAAAAUAAUUAAUAAUUUAAGUCCAGGUGAAGGCAUGUGUGUAUGAGAGCUUAUAUUCUUGUAAUUGACCAUAAUGCAAAUAAUGCAAAAAAGAGUAUAAGAAAUAAAUGAUCCGAGUUUCCGAUCACUAAGAACUCCCGCCCACCCUCACACACAUAAAAAAAACACAGGGACUAAAAUCCAAACAAAUAGAUAAAACGUCAUAUUUAAAACUCUUCAUACAUUAUAUCCAUCCAUCCAAAAUCGAUAAAACGUCAUGUUUUAAACCUCCAAAAUGGGAAAUACACAUUACUGUCAAGUACACACACAUACAUUAUAUCCAUCCAAAAUCGAAGCCAAUUUUGCUUACAUUCAUAUUCAAAUAUACACACAUUGCACCCUGGCAAAACUGACGUCAUUAUUGGCAAGACUCGAACAAAAACCCCCUAUGUAGGUACUGAAAAUAAGUGAUUAAAAAUUUUGCAUAUAUUUGUUAAUACACUAUAUUACUCACAAAUAGUGUGUUUAUCUAAACUCGUGCAUUGUCAAAUCUAUUGAUUUGCUACAAAUCAGAAUGAUAUAGGGAAGUAGAGUUGAUUUUGGAACCAAAGGGCGUAGAGCACCAUUUACAAAGAUUCUGUCAUGAUAUAUAUAUAUUCUUCAAAUUUAUAUAUAUAUAUAUAUAUGUGUGUGUGUGUGUGUGUGUGUGUGUGUGUGUGUGUGUGUGUGUGUGUGUGUCAGCAUUGUUUGCAAGAUAAAAAAAAGCUUAAAAAAAGCUAAUAUUUCGAUUGGAAGUUUAAAAAAAGCUUGCAAUCAUCACACUAAUAAUGAGAUGCAUUACAAUAUGUCAAAAAACUUGCCUUUGAAGAAUCCCUCCACUUAUCACUUAUUGUGGCUCCAUUACUACAACCUGGAAAAUAGCAAUGCAGUGUAAAUGUGUAAUAUAAAAUAACAAUCAUAACUAAUCUACUACAUAAAUCUAUAUAUACUUGGACAAUAUUCUCAUAUGAAGACUGAAUCGUUAAUACAAAUUUCAAAAUCAUACAAAAACACACUAAUAUAAUGAAAAAUCAUAUCAAAUCAUUCCACAAUUAUAUAUAACUAAAAUAAAUCUAAAGAUCAAUAUCAUAUCAAGCUCUUAUAUCAAAUACUUGAUGAGUAAACUAUCCUCGCAAAACAUUAAAUUUGCAAAAAGACAGAAACUUGUGUUUGGACUUCUAUCAAACACUUCCCGUGCUAAUAAAAUUAAGAGAUUCACCUAAAAGUUCCACAAAUAUAGAAAUGGGGAAAGACAUUGAGGAGAAGAAUAUACCUUCUCAUGAUUGCAAAAGAGGCUGACAAUCACUAAAUUAAUCCAUAGAAGUAGCGGUAAUCUCUUCUUUCCCGAUAAUGAGAUCGCUACAAAGCCCAUGAAAGUGUGUUAACGAAUGUGUGUUAAAAGAAGCCGUCAACCAUUUGUAAUUAGCUGGAGUACUUCAGCGCGAAUUUGAAUUCAUUUGAAUUUGAAUUCAUUUGGACAAUCAAAUAUGCACUGAAGCAGAAAGAAUUGCAGGCGAAUCCUGAUUGCCAGUGAGAAAUUUGUCUGUAACCAUGAUUAUUUGGUAAGUUGUGCACAGUUAGUCUUUUUCCGGGAAAAAAACAAAGGAGAGAGCAAAAUGGGUUUGAAGAGUAUGGUCUCAGCGGAAGGUGCUGGAAGACCAAGAACAUGUGUAAUGUUAGGUCAUUUGAGGAAAGUUAAGACACGUCAUGUGGAAACAAAGAAAGAUG
rnacentral:lncRNA from 1 species